GAUGAAGAACGCAGCGAAAUGCGAAAAGUAAUGUGAAUUGCAGAAUUCAGUGAAUCAUCGAAUCUUUGAACGCACAUUGCGCCCGCUGGUACUCCGGCGGGCACGCCUGUCCGAGCGUCAUUUCAACCCUCAAGCCCUCCUUCGGGAUGGGCCUGGUGUUGGGGCUCGGCCGCCAUCUCCGGCGGCCGUCCCCUAAAUACAGUGGCGGUCACGUCGCGACUCCUUUGCGUAGUAGAAACACCUCGCUCCGGAUAGCAACGCGGUCCACGCCGUAAAACCCCCAAUUUUCAAUGGUUGACCUCGCAUCAGGUGGGAAUACCCGCUGAACUUAAGCAUAUCAAUAAGCGGAGGA
rnacentral:misc_RNA from 1 species